GAUGAACGCUAGCGGCAGGCUUAAUACAUGCAAGUCGUGGGGCAGCAGGUUUGUAGCAAUACAGAUGCUGGCGACCGGCAAACGGGUGCGGAACACGUACAGAACCUUCCUUUGAGCGGGGAAUAGCCCAGAGAAAUUUGGAUUAAUACCCCAUAGUAUAAUGAAGUGGCAUCACUUUAUUAUUAAAGAUUUAUCACUCGAAGAUGGCUGUGCGGCUGAUUAGGUAGUUGGCGGGGUAAAGGCCCACCAAGCCUGCGAUCAGUAACUGGUGUGAGAGCACGACCAGUCACACGGGCACUGAGACACGGGCCCGACUCCUACGGGAGGCAGCAGUAAGGAAUAUUGGUCAAUGGAGGCAACUCUGAACCAGCCAUGCCGCGUGGAGGAUGAAAGUCCUCUGGAUUGUAAACUUCUUUUAUAUGGGUACGAAAAAAGGACUUUUCUAAGUUCGUCUGACGGUACCAUAUGAAUAAGCACCGGCUAACUCCGUGCCAGCAGCCGCGGUAA
rnacentral:rRNA from 1 species